AAAACAAGAGCUUUUCAGACAAGCUAAGGAUGACUUCCUAAAAACCAUUUCAAUUUACAACCCUAGAUAUAUGUGGAUUUAGGCAAGUCAUCCUUGGCUAUCCAAAUCGCUCUUCGAUU
rfam:Helianthus annuus linkage group 9, whole genome shotgun sequence.